UUAAUUGAUUUCUUCGGAAUGAAAAUAAGUGGAUUAGUGGCGAACGGGUGAGUAACACGUGAGUAACCUGCCUUACACAAGGGGAUAGCCUUUGGAAACGAAGAAUAAUACCCUAUAAAGUCAAAAUAUCGCAUGAUAUAGUGACCAAAGAUUUAUCGGUGUAAGAUGGACUUGCGUCUGAUUAGCUAGUUGGUGAGAUAAAAGCCCACCAAGGCGACGAUCAGUAGCCGGCUUGAGAGAGUGUACGGCCACAUUGGGACUGAGACACGGCCCAAACUCCUACGGGAGGCAGCAGUGGGGAAUUUUGCACAAUGGGGGAAACCCUGAUGCAGCGACGCCGCGUGAUUUAGAAGGCCUUCGGGUUGUAAAAAUCUUUUUUAUGGGAUGAAAAUGACAGUACCAUAAGAAUAAGGUCCGGCUAAAUACGUGCCAGCAGCCGCGGUAAUACGUAUGGACCGAGCGUUGUCCGGAAUCAUUGGGCGUAAAGGGUACGUAGGCGGCCUAGUAAGUUAGAAGUGAAAUAAUAUAGCUCAACUAUAUAAAGCUUUUAAAACUGUUAGGCUUGAGAGAUGAAAGGGAAAGUGGAAUUCCUAGUGUAGCGGUGAAAUGCGCAGAUAUUAGGAAGAAUACCGGUGGCCGAAGGCGACUUUCUGGUCAUCAUCUGACGCUGAGGUACGAAAGCGUGGGUAGCAAACAGGAUUAGAUACCCUGGUAGUCCACGCUGUAAACGAUGAGUGUUAGGUUCUUGGAAUAAUCUGGGAGCCGCAGCUAACGCAUUAACACUCCGCCUGGGGAGUACGCACGCAAGUGUG
rnacentral:rRNA from 1 species